rnacentral:rRNA from 1 species
UACGGGGGGAGCAAGCGUUGUUCGGAUUUACUGGGCGUAAAGGGCGCGUAGGCGGCCACCGCAAGUCGACUGUGAAAUCUCCGGGCUUAACCCGGAAAGGUCAGCCGAUACUGCGGGGCUAGAGUGCAGAAGGGGCAACUGGAAUUCUCGGUGUAGCGGUGAAAUUCGUAGAUAUUCGCAAGAACACCAGUGGCGAAGGCGGACUCACUGGCCCGGUACUGACGCUGAGGUGCGAAAGCGUGGGGAGCAAACAGGG